UUGCUGCCAGACAUGAAUGGGAAAAAAAUUCAAUGAAUGUUUUGUAAGGAGAGUCCUCAGGGAACUGACUGUUUGAGGUCUGCAUCACCGGACUCCCUGCCAGCUGGCUUCCACUGGGUUUGGCCAACGGCACACACAGGCAGAUCAGAAGACAGAAGGAGAGAGGGGUUGGGUCAUGUCUUCCUUGCUGCUUCCCUGCCUUGGUGCUAUAUCUCUGGCAUGCAUUCCUCCAUGAUGGCAGCUUCUGCUGAGGGGCCCCACCAGGGUUCCUGCUUUUUCUGAGGAUUGUAACACAGGUUGGUAAAGCCUUCUCAUUGUUGCUUGUCUCUGGGUACCCAUCCGUUGUGAAUCCUGCUCACCUCUCUGUAAGUUAGCACUUGAUUAAAUAUACUUGUUGGGACCCUGACUGAUACACUGGGUAUGUAGGCAGGAGAAAGAGACCCCAAAAUGCUCAAACCAGUUAAUUCACAUGGGGGCUGAAAUACUCUAAUAGCUCUGUUGACUGUAAGGCUUUGGCAAGCUCAGCCUUGUAGCUGCCAAAAUGAUGCAUCUUCCUAGUUGUUCAGUGACUGUGCUACCAUGUAGCUGGAAUGCUUUUGUUUGGUUUGACCUAAAGCAAUUGUGUAUUAGUUAGAACUUUAUAGCUACAACUGCAGAAACCCAACCCCAAAUAGCCUAUGAAGGAGAGGGGAGAGGAUCUUAUUGACUCACAUAACUGAAAAGUCUAGUGGCACAGAAGCCUUAGAUCCAAAGGUUCAAAUGAUUUUCCUGGGUCAUAUGCUUAUCCCUGAGUUGGAUGAAUUGGAGAUAUUUCCACUAAAUCCAAAAGUGGAACUUUCUCCAAGGAUAAAUAGGACUGGGCAGAAUGAGGUAAUAUGAAGUAAUACAUGCACACGUUAUAUGUUCUAAAUGGUUCUCAGAAAUAUUCUGUCACUGUGUGCAGAAAUGACACACGAGAGCCAUGUGUAUAUGACACUGAAGAAACCUGUGAGCAGUCUUUACUACACACAUUUGUGACCUUCCUAACUACUUUUUAACACCUGCCUGUUGUUUGAAGAUAAAUACCAGUGAAAGCAACCUUGUAUAUCUAGUCUCUGCUUUAUGGGAAAAUGAAGAUAAGAGAUUUUUGGAAAGAGCACUGAAUAUAUUACCUUAUGUCCAGUGGAUGCUCAAUCCAUUUUAAUUAUCCCACUUAUGAAUGGGAGGGAAAGAUAAGAGAUGCAAAAUCAUUUCUGAAAAAGAAAACAUCUGGCUUGGCAACAUGACUUAGAGCCCACAUCUCGUUCAGGCACUGGUUUGUGGACCCUUGAGCAUGUUCAUGAAAAUCCAUGGCUCCUGGUUUAUUCCUAUGAGAAAUGAAGAGGAGUCUAGAACUAAAAGAGAGGAAGGGUCCCUUUUUUCCUUUUUCUUGAGACUUAUUUGACAAAAAAGCUUAAUAAAGCUUUCGGCAGGACGAAAUCAGGAGGCAUUGGGCUUAUUUCUGAUUUUACUUCAUUAUUCGAGAAACAGAUAAUAUAUUUCUACACAAUAUUUGCUACCUAAACAUUUCUUUUAGGGAAAACAUUUAGACAGAAAUGAACAUUCUGGCGUCCAAACUCCAUCUCAGACCAGGGGAAGCAGAUGAAGUGUUGCCUUUUUUUUUUAAUUCUUACUUGUCAUUUUUGCUUAAUAACUUCUCUGCCCUUCAAAUGGCUUGUUUUGAUUGUGAAUUUCCAAAUCUUAAUAGAAAUUUCUUAAAUUCCUUCCUUGAUAGGAAAUUUUAUCCAAAGAUUUUGAGGAUUUAACAAAGACAGAAGCUUUACAAAAAGUAUUUUUUGUUUGCCCCCUUUCCCACCUGAAAUUGGCAGGAAACUGUUGGCAAAAGAUGAGAUGUCUUUCCCCGGCUUCCCCAUACACAUGAGCCAGGACUUGCCUGAGAAGCUUUGAAGCUAUGGUAGUUACUCUCCAAAGAUAGCUCCCUCCCUAAUGAAACAUAACUGGAAAUUGAGCCCUUGUGUGGUCUCUGCCCAUUGAACCCGGGUUGGCUAAUAAAAUGAGACAGAAGUGCUGCUGCCAGACUCUUAAAGUGCAUUUUGAAGCCUUGUAGAUAUUGCCUGGGUUUCUUGGGAUGCUUUCUUUUGGGGGAGCCAGCCACCACGUAAGAAGUCAGCCUGCUAGCCAGGUGUGGUGGCGCAUGCCUGUGGUCCUAGCUACUCGGGAGGCUGAAGCGGGAGAAUUGC
rnacentral:lncRNA from 10 species